CCUCUAGCUAGCAAGACGACGUUGGGGUGAGAGGAACAGGAAGGAAGGAAAGAAAGAAAAAUGAAACCAGCCCUGCUGUUCCUCAUCCUUCUAAACCUCUCACAUGGUGUCUUCUCCGGUCCACAGCUCAUUGAGACUGGCCCCGGUGUGGUGAAGCCCGGAGGGUCCUUCAAACUGACCUGCUCUGUCACUGGGGUUCAAGUCAGUGAUUAUUACUGGAGCUGGGUCCGUCAGCCUUUGGAGAAAAGGCUGGAGUGGCUGGGGUUCAUUCGAAGCACUGCCCAAGGGGGAACCACACAGCUCAGUCCAGCAUUCGGGAGCCGAAUCAUCAUCUCCAGGGACACUUCCAGAAAUGAAGUGUAUCUUCAGCUGAGCUCCCUGACAGCUGCAGACACAGCAACGUAUUAUUGUGCAAGAGACACAGUGAGGCGAAGCCGUGGAGCAUCCAGGCAAAAACCAGCCUUAGACUUGAAACAGCAUGUUCUCACUUUCAAAAUGGAACAGACUCCAUUUCACCAUUUUUAG